AUAUGCAUCAAAAACUACAUAUCCAACUUUUCAAAAUAAUACUACUUAUUUUUUCCAAUUCAUAGUUUACCCCUCUAUUUAGAUAUUACACUUAUUCACACAAUUUCUUCCCCAAACAGAAUCACAUUCACUUUAUGACCAUGCUGUGUAGUAUCUACAAUCAUCUAACAUUUAAAGGAAAAGCGCUAUUUAUAAUGUUUAGCUUGCUUGCCAGUAUAUUUUACAAGUCUUUGACAUGUCAAUGUGAAAAAUUUAUAGAUAUACAAUAAAGUUCCAUUGUAAGGAUUUUCAAAUAAACUAAGAUGCAUUUUGUGUUUGUCUAAAAGGCUCAGUAAUGAAGCCCUGGGGACUUGUUUAUGCAUAGUGUUUUCCCAGCAGGAGAACCAAUAUUGGUCAGUUCUUUCGUCCUCAGAGGCUUUUCUCACUAAAUGGAACAGCAUUAGCUUUGUUCUUUACGUCUAAUUAACAACCAAAUCAUAAAUUGUAGGCUUUGUCCAAUUGAAUUAAGCUUUCAGCAUUAUGUGUGUUUAAAAAAAAAAUCUUACUGCCUUGAAUUUUAUUAGGUAAAAAGAAAAAGCUAGGGCAAAAUGGUAAAUAGGAAAAGCAAGAUAGUGUACAAGUUUAAUGCAUUAGCCUCUUAUCCCCAGAGAUCAUGGUUCCUAUCUGUCUUAGGUCACAUUUUAAAAGAGUUGAA
rnacentral:lncRNA from 1 species